rnacentral:rRNA from 1 species
AGAGCAUAGGGCGAAUGCCUUGGCAUCAAGAACCGAAGAAGGACGUGUCAAGCUGCGAUAAGCUGCGGGGAGUUGCAAGCAAACAUAGAACCGCAGAUUUCCGAAUGAGGGAACUCGGCGCCUGUAAUGGGGCGUCACCAUACACUGAAUACAUAGGUGUAUGGGGGGAACCCGGUGAACUGAAACAUCUAAGUAGCCGGAGGAAAAGAAAGCAAAAGCGAUUCUCAAAGUAGCGGCGAGCGAAAUGGGAAGAGGCCAAACCGGAAGUCUUCGGACGUCCGGGGUUGCGGACUGUCGGACGUGAUCUAGUGAGUGUAGCCGAAUAGCAUUGGAAAGUGCAGCCAAAGGGCGUAAAAGCCGCGUAGGCGAAACAUGAGCGAGCACAGACAGCACCAGAGUACCACGGGGCACGAGAAACCCAGUGGGAAGCCGGGAGGACCACCUUCCAAGCCUAAAUAUUCCUUGAUGACCGAUAGCGAAAUAGUACCGUGAGGGAAAGGUGAAAAGUACCCCGGGAGGGGAGUGAAAGAGUACCUGAAACCCUAUGCUUACAAGCAGUGGGAGGACGAUUAGAACGUCUGACCAUGUACUUUUUGUAGAACGGGCCAGCGAGUUAUGGUAUGUAGCGAGGUUAAGCUUUAAAGGAGCGGAGCCGCAGGGAAACCGAGUCUUAAAAGGGCGGAUGAGUUGCAUGCUGUAGACCUGAAACCGGGCGACCUAUCCAUGGGCAGGUUGAAGCGGCGGUAAGACGCCGUGGAGGACCGAACCACACGUAUGUUGAAAAAUGCGGGGAUGACCUGUGGAUAGCGGAGAAAUUCCAAUCGAGCUCGGAGAUAGCUGGUUCUCCUCGAAAUAGCUUUAGGGCUAGCGUCAGGGGAAGAUAUAUGGGGGUAGAGCACUGAAUGGGCUAGGGGGCUUCACGGCUUACCGAACCUUAUCAAACUCCGAAUACCAUAUAUUACAUACCUGGCAGUCAGACAGUGGGAGAUAAGUUUCAUUGUCAAAAGGGAAAGAGCCCAGAUCAUCAACUAAGGCCCCCAAGUGCAAGUUAAGUGGAAAAGGAUGUGGGACUGCGAAGACAACUAGGAUGUUGGCUUAGAAGCAGCCACUCAUUGAAAGAGUGCGUAACAGCUCACUAGUCGAGUGGUCGUGCGCCGAAAAUGUCCGGGGCUAAAACUUGCCGCCGAAGUUAUGGGUGUAUCGUGAGUUACUGAUAUAUUUGAAAGACAGGGAAAAGAAAAGCCGAAGGGCGACGGGGUAUUCCCCUAGGGGAAGGUAUCCCUGCGGGAUGAAAUGAAAGCCUCCGGCGGCUUAGAACCUAAGGUUCUAAGAACUCCUCUAAAAAGAGGGGAGGGCAUUUGCAAGCAAACCAACCUUAGCGUAAGCUAAGAUAGUACGGUUUGCGUCCAAAUUCAUAAAGAUAAAACUGCCUGGAAGAGGUGGUGGGCCUGCGAAGCAGGCGGCGCGUGCCGGGAUUUACGGGCAGGGGAAAUGAGGAAUUGGGUAAAGCAAAUGAGGAAAGGGAAGCGCUGUCGGAAGAAAAGUCAGAUAUAUGAGUAAUUCACGAUACGCGGUAGAGGAGCGUCGCAACAGGGCAGAAGCCAUACCGAGAGGAGUGGUGGACUGGUUGCGAGUGAGAAUGCUGGCAUGAGUAGCGAGAGUGGUGUGAGAAUCGCCACCGUCGAAAGUCUAAGGUUUCCUGGGGAAGGCUCGUCCUCCCAGGGUAAGUCGGGACCUAAGCCGAGGACAAAAAUAGUCGUAGGCGAUGGACAACAGGUUGAUAUUCCUGUACUGCCUAAGAAGCGUUUGACUGAAGCAGUGACACAGGAGGAUAGUGAGAGCGGGCGAAUGGUAGAGCCCGUCCAAGCACCGAGGAUGGAGAGGUAGUGAAGUACGCCUUUUCAUAAGUCUGAGGUGUGAUGGGGACAGAAAAUAAGUAUGGAAGCUCAUGAAUUCACACUGGCGAGAAAAGCUGCUGGGAAGUUUCAAAGGUACCCGUACCGCAAACCGACACAGGUAGACGAGGAGAGAAUCCUAAGACGAUCGGGAGAAGCAUUGUUAAGGAACUCGGCAAAAUAACUCCGUAACUUCGGGAGAAGGAGUGCCAGCUUCGGCUGGCCGCAGUGAAUAGGCCCAAGCGACUGUUUAGCAAAAACACAGGUCUGUGCAAAAUCGAGAGAUGAAGUAUACGGGCUGACGCCUGCCCAGUGCUGGAAGGUUAAGGGGAACUGUCACCCGGCCGCUGUGUGCAUAUAUCGAGGAGAAGGUCAAUGUAUUAUGUAUAUGUAUUGCAAAGUGAAAAAGGCAAGAAAUAUAUAGGAUACACGCAAAACAUGCGAGAAAGACUGGAACAACAUAAUGCUGGAAAGAGCGCAUAUACAAAAGGAUCAAAAUGGGAACUGAUAUACUUUGAAGGAUACCGGACAGAAGCGCAAGCUAGGAGAAGGGAAAGAAGUAUAAAAAGAUCCGGAAGCGUUCGGAAAGCAAUAUAUGAGAGAUGUAUGUAGACAGUGGCCGGGGAAGCAGAGAACUUAAGCCCCAGUGAACGGCGGGAACGGCGGCCGUAACUAUAACGGUCCUAAGGUAGCGAAAUUCCUUGUCAGGUAAGUUCUGACCCGCACGAAUGGCGUAACGAUUUGGGCACUGUCUCAACAAUGUACCCGGCGAAAUUGUAGUAUGAGUGAAGAUGCUCAUUACCCGCGAUAGGACGGAAAGACCCCGUAGAGCUUUACUGUAACUUGGCAUUGGAUUUUGGUAUUGGAUGUACAGGAUAGGUGGGAGGCACAGAAGCGCAGACGCCAGUAGGCGUGGAGCCACCCUUGGGAUACCACCCUUCCAAUACUGGGGUUCUAACCAUAGGCCGUUAGCCGGCUAUGGGACAGUACCAGGUGGACAGUUUGACUGGGGCGGUCGCCUCCGAAAGAGUAACGGAGGCGCCCAAAGGUUUCCUCAGAAUGGUCGGAAAUCAUUCAUUAGAGUGCAAAUGCAUAAGGGAGCUUGACUGCGAGAGGGACACCUCGAGCAGGGACGAAAGUCGGGAUUAGUGAUCCGGCGGUAUGAGAGUGGAAUUGCCGUCGCUCAACGGAUAAAAGCUACCUCGGGGAUAACAGGC